rnacentral:rRNA from 1 species
AUUGAACGCUGGCGGCAUGCCUUACACAUGCAAGUCGAACGCGAAAGGGGGGCAACUCCUGAGUAGAGUGGCGCACGGGUGAGUAAUGCAUCGGAACGUGUCCUGUAGCGGGGGACAACCUAGCGAAAGCUAGGCUAAUACCGCAUACGUCCUACGGGAGAAAGUGGGGGAUCGUAAGACCUCACACUAUAGGAGCGGCCGAUGCCGGAUUAGCUAGUUGGUGGGGAAAAGGCCUACCAAGGCGACGAUCCGUAGCUGGUCUGAGAGGAGGAUCGGCCACACUGGGCCUGGGACACGGCCCAGACUCCUACGGGAGGCAGCAGGGGGGAAUUUUGGACAAUGGGGGAAACCCUGAUCCAGCCAUGCCGCGUGAGUGAAGAAGGCCUUGGGGUUGUAAAGCUCUUUCGGCCGGGACGAAAUCGCACGCGUGAAAAUCGCGUGUGGAUGACGGUACCGGAAGAAAAAGAACCGGCUAACUACGGGCCAGCCGCCGCAGUAG